rnacentral:rRNA from 1 species
AACGAACGCUGGCGGCAUGCCUAACACAUGCAAGUCGAACGAUUGCCUUCGGGUGAUAGUGGCGCACGGGUGCGUAACGCGUGGGAAUCUGCCCUUAGGUUCGGAAUAACAGCUGGAAACGGCUGCUAAUACCGGAUGAUAUCGCGAGAUCAAAGAUUUAUCGCCUGAGGAUGAGCCCGCGUUGGAUUAGGUAGUUGGUGGGGUAAAGGCCUACCAAGCCGACGAUCCAUAGCUGGCCUGAGAGGAUGAUCAGCCACACUGGGACUGAGACACGGCCCAGACUCCUACGGGAGGCAGAAGUGGGGAAUAUUGGACAAUGGGCGCAAGCCUGAUCCAGCAAUGCCGCGUGAGUGAUGAAGGCCCUAGGGUUGUAAAGCUCUUUUACCCGGGAAGAUAAUGACUGUACCGGGAGAAUAAGCCCCGGCUAACUCCGUG